rnacentral:rRNA from 1 species
UGAACUUGUUCAGAGGGACUAGAUGAUGAUUAUAACAAUGGCUUUAGUGGCGGGACUGGUGAGUAACGCGUAGGUAACCUGCCUAACAGAGGGGGAAUAAACAGUGAGAAAUCAUUGCUAAUACCGCAUAUGCUCACAGUACCACAUGGUACAGUGAGGAAAGGAGUAAUCCGCUGAUAGAUGGGGCCUGCGUCUGAUUAGCUAGUUGGUUAGGUAAAAGCUGACCAAGGCAACGAUCAGUAGCCGGACUGAGAGGUUAAACGGCCACAUUGGGACUGAGAUACGGCCCAGACUCCUACGGGAGGCAGCAGUCGGGAAUAUUGCGCAAUGGAGGAAAAACCUCUGACGCAGUGACGCCGCGUAUAGGAAGAAGGUUUUCGGAUUGUAAACUAUUGUCGUUAGGGAAGAUAAAAGACAGUACCUAAGGAGGAAGCCCCGGCUAACUAUGUGCCAGCCGCAGC